rnacentral:lncRNA from 1 species
CUGGGUUGUGGCUGAACCAACUUUACUUGGUCAAGAUCAUAUUUUGCAUUCUGAUGAAGCAUCUCUGGGAACUGGCUGUCCUGUAACCAAUGUAACUGCGAAGGGAUAUGAGUUUAAUUACCCUGCCACUCAGUGUGGGAUUCAGAAAGAGGUUUUCUCAUAUGUAACAGUUUUUUAUUCAGCACUCCACUGUAAUAUAAUGCACAAAGGAGUCACUGGCAAAAUUCCUUUGAUGUGUAUUGUAUAUGGCUCAUCUUUGGAUACCACUUCAAGCACUAUCCAUAACAAUCUUACAGAAUUCCAAAAUGACCCUCCCGCUACCAAUUCUUAUUCUCCCUGGAACUUAACCAACGCUAGCUUAUUUGGAUUGACUCGGAUUCCAUAUUUUCAAAACUCCUCGGUAGAGGCAUCUCAUCAGUCACUUCUACUUAAUAUGUCUCAUCCAUUAGUCCAUGAGAGUGCAAAUGUAGCUAUAUUCUAGGUUCUUCCAUGGCAAUCCUGAAAACUCUGUUGCUACAGCUUACUUAAAAUUUAAUUUUUGAACCACUCACUACAGAUUUAUCACUUUUUGGUGCCACUUCCUGAGAGGACAUUGGGUUGGGAUAGAGCCCAGUGCUUCAUAUGUUUUUAAAAAGUGCUCCUUUUAAACAUAGGCCAUUAUACCCUUGCAUAGUCUCUUAUAAUACAAUGUCUAUGUAUAAUUUG